UUUCAUGUGAAAUCUUUAGUGCUGUAAGCCCUUAAAAGGGACAGAAAUUGUGCAUUUGGGGAGCUCGGAUUUUAAGGCAGUAGCUUGCCAAUGCUCCCAGCUGAAUAAAGCCCUUCCUUCUACAACUCGGUGUCUGAGAAGUUUUGUCUGUGGCUCAUCCUGCUACAUUUCUUGAUUCCCUGACGGAGAAACGAGGUAACUGACGGACAGCUGAGGCAGCCCCUUAGGCGGCUUAGGCCUGCCCUAUGGAGCAUCCUGUGGGGGACUCCGGCCAGUCUGAGUGACAGGAUCCAAAGAGCACUCCCGGGUAGGAAAUUGCCGCAGUGGAACGCCUUGCCAGAGCAGCGCGUAGCAGGCCCCCGUGGAGGAUUAACACAGUGGCUGAACAAUGGGAAGGAACUGGCACUUGGAGUCCGGACAUCUGAAACUUGCUUUGGCUUCUCGAUUGCUUCUGAACUCCCAGGAAGGUGAAAAAGCAGCGUCAUUACUUAGCACCGGAAGCCCCGGCACUCAACAGGGAUACUGUGCAGUCCUGCAUGUGAGCAGCUCAAGAGUUCUUUUCAAGUGAGACCUGCUGCUAGGAGAGAACUGCUCCUGCUCCAUUGCCCAUUUCUCUCACCUUUAUCCUGCACUUCUGCUUCCAUCUUGGCAUCUUCUUCCCUCAAGACCCAACCUGACACCAUCAGUAUUAUUACACUCUUCAUUUCCCAGUGGAGGAGGUGGGGAUCCAGGCAAGAAAGACAAAGCGUAAAUAUGCUCCCUUUAAAAUUUUGUACUGCUCUAUCGCUUCUGGGCCUUUGGGCUAAGAUCAAGUGUAAAAGUUUGUACUACUCUCAGGUUUGAGGUUCACAUGAAAAGAACAUCUCAUCAACAUUUCAAAAGAAAAUUUGAAUGAAUUGUAUGUUGUACUAGUGUGUAAAAGAGAGACCGUGUCAUUUAUUCAUAAAACUGAGUCCAGUGGGACCUGCCCAUUCAAUGCAAAAAUGCAAAGGUAUGUAGGAUCUUAGAAAAUGAAAGACAAUGCUAAAGACAGGAACCAUUUCCAGCAUCUGUUGUUGAGGUCUGAAUCUGGAAAGACUCAGAAUGUAUUUAUCAGAAAAACAAUUUCCCCAGUAAGACAAUAGCUGCAAAGCUGGUCAUCACAUGCAAAUCAUGACCUUCACUUUUGCACAAUUUUGGAACAUGUAACUGGUAAGCACUACCUACAGUUUUUUGCUUUGCAGACAUGGAAAAUACAUCACACUGACAAAAUGGACUUUUAAAAUUUGGGUUUUACCUUAACAAAAUAAACUUGAGUCUGAUUCUUCAUCUUCAAACAUAUUAGAAAGGGAUAAAAGAAUUUCUCUGUGAUAUUUUAACCCUUAGGAAUAUCUGAACAUGAGUGUGUUUGUACACAUAAUUUAAAAAUUAAAUAUGUUUCUUUUCAUGGCAUAAUUUUCUAAAGGAAGGAGGGACAGGACUUACCCUCGCUAGAGUCUUUCGAACAUUCUGGCUUCUUUGCUUUGCUCUUUUUGUAGGGUGGAGAGAGGCCUUUUGGCUCUAACCCCUCUGGAAUCACGAAGAUUUAAUAUUCUCAUUUAAAUAUUUACCAGUAGGGUUCAAAAUUAUGUGAAAUUUAAAAAUGUUUUCUUCUUAGUAAACCUACACACACGCUGAAUCUUAAUUGCAGUUUCAUCUGUCAUCAUGGCUGAGCGAAAUUCUGGCAAGGACUUGUGGUUCUCCAACCUACAUAGACUUAAACUUAAGGCUUAAGCUAAAACAUUUUUGUAGAUAACAUUAGUGAUUCACACAAAUGUAAAAUCUUACACGUGUGCUUUUAUAAAUUUAGAAAUUCUCCAUAAGGGAACCCUGUUAAUAUUUUUUCCUCCAAGAGUGUUCGAUUUCAAUCUUCAUAGAUUAAUUGACAAUUGUCAUUGUGCAAUUUCAUCUUACUCAGUCCUGAAAGCAGGGCUAGAGGAAUGGAGAAAGGAAUGGGGCUAGAAAUUACCCUGCUUCUAUUUAACAAACUGUUUUUAGUAAUCCAGAUUCUAAACAACUUCUGUAUGUCCCAGUUAAAUUACUGUGCUUCCUAUUUUCCUCAAUGUCCCUCUAAGUCUAUCCUUGGGGGGUAAAUAAAUUAAAGUCUGAGGACAGUGUCAGGAAAGCA